GAUGAAGAACGCAGCGAAAUGCGAUAAGUAAUGUGAAUUGCAGAGUUCAGUGAAUCAUCGAAUCUUUGAACGCACAUUGCGCCCGUUAGUAUUCUGGCGGGCAUGCCUGUCUGAGCGUCAUUUCAACCCUCAAGCAACUUCUGCUUGGUGUUGGGGAUCGGCCGUCAAACGCCGCCCCCGAAAUCUAUUGGCGAUCUCGCUGUAGCUUCCUAUGCGUAGUAGUAACAUCUCGCAUCUGGAGAGCGGCGCGGUCAUGCCGUAAAACACCCAACUUCUCAGGUUGACCUCAGAUCAGGUAGGAAUACCCGCUGAACUUAAGCAUAUCAAUAAGCGGAGGA
rnacentral:misc_RNA from 1 species